rnacentral:rRNA from 1 species
UACGAAGGGGCUAGCGUUGCUCGGAAUCACUGGGCGUAAAGCGCACGUAGGCGGAUUGCUAAGUCAGGGGUGAAAUCCUGGAGCUCAACUCCAGAACUGCCUUUGAUACUGGCGACCUUGAGUCCGGGAGAGGUGAGUGGAACUGCGAAGUGUAGAGGUGAAAUUCGUAGAUAUUCGCAAGAACACCAGUGGCGAAGGCGGCUCAC